rnacentral:tRNA from 1 species
GCGUUUUUAGCUCAGUUGGUAGAGCACCUGACUCUUAAUCAGGGUGCCCAGGGUUCGAGUCCCUGAAGGCGCACCA